CCUACGGGAGGCUGCAGUGGGGAAUUUUGGACAAUGGGGGGAACCCUGAUCCAGCCAUGCCGCGUGUGUGAAGAAGGCCCUCGGGUUGUAAAGCACUUUCAGUGAGGAAGAACGCCUGGUGGUUAAUACCCAUCAGGAAAGACAUCACUCACAGAAGAAGCACCGGCUAACUCCGUGCCAGCAGCCGCGGUAAUACGGAGGGUGCGAGCGUUAAUCGGAAUUACUGGGCGUAAAGCGCGCGUAGGUGGCUUGAUAAGCCGGUUGUGAAAGCCCCGGGCUCAACCUGGGAACGGCAUCCGGAACUGUCAAGCUAGAGUGCAGGAGAGGAAGGUAGAAUUCCCGGUGUAGCGGUGAAAUGCGUAGAGAUCGGGAGGAAUACCAGUGGCGAAGGCGGCCUUCUGGACUGACACUGACACUGAGGUGCGAAAGCGUGGGUAGCAAACAGGAUUAGAUACCCCGGUAGUC
rnacentral:rRNA from 1 species